rnacentral:lncRNA from 10 species
GCAUGAGCCACUGCACCCAGCCCUAGAAUAUUCAUAUUUCUUAUAAAUGAAUAUUCAUAUGUUCUCCUUCAGUUUGAGCCAAAGGCAUUUGUCCCUCUCCUCUUACUGACUGCAUCUGCUCUGGCCACACUGCAAGCCUGGUCCCACCACAGGGCCUUCAAACAAGCUGUUCCCACUACCUGGAAUGCUUCUCUCUCAGCCCCCAGCCUCACCCAUUAGAUUUUUGUUUUUAUUUUUAUUUUUAUUUGUCUAGUGUAGACGAUAGGGUAGGGAUGCAGGGAAGCCUCUGGACUUUCCUCUGAGUGGGACCGGCCUGGAAGCCUAGCCCGUUCUCCCACCAGCUCUGUCUCCCCUGACACAAAGAAAAUACCCCAAUCCCGCAGCCCCUCCCCCAGCUCAACCAUUUCUAAUUCCAGAGCCCAAUGCUGCUCUGGACAAUCAAGGGCUUGCAUUCUUUUUAAAUUUAAAUUAAGUAAUUAAUUUUUUGAGACAGCGUCUCACUCUGUCGUCCAGGCUGGAGUGUAGUGGCGCGAUACGGUUUCCUACAGCCUCGACCUCCUGAGCUCAAGUGAUCCUCCUACUUCAGCCUCGGGAGUAUUUGGGUCCACAAGCACGCGACACCACAUCCAGCUAAUUUUUAAAUUUUUUGUAGAGAUGGGGCCUCCCUAUGUUACUCAGGCUGGUUUCCAAUUCCUGGGCUCAAGCGAUCCUCCCGCCUUGGUCUCCCAAAGUGGUGGGAUUACAGGCGUAAGCCUCCGCACCCGGCUAUUUUUACUUUAAAAUACUAAGUCAGUGACGGAAGCUUCCGCACAUUCUCGUGGCUCACUUUUCUCUUCCUGGGGAAAAAAGGCAGGAGGUAUUUCCGAGAGAGCCACCCAUGUAGGAAGCGUGCCUUUGGGCGAUCAGGGAGCUGAGCAACCGAAAAACCUCCCCUCCAAGGAGGCGGCAGGCCAGGGCCUGGACCAGCUGCCCUGGAGCCCCCCACAGAGCACGGACUACCGCGUGGGCGCGGAGGGCAGGGAGAAUGGGAGGUGGAUUUCUUUUUAUUUUUUGUUUUUCUGAAUUUUCCCAAUUUCUCUGCAGUGGAUUGGUGAUACUUCUAUAGUCCGAGUGGGGGAGGAGGGAGCAAACAUGUUACCCUAAAAAGAAAAAAUAAAUUUCCCAAAUGUAAACGGUGCGGGGACGUGGGGGUGGGCGUCCCAGUACUCCCAGGGCACUGGGGGCGGGCUGGGGACUGGGUUGGCGGCGGCUGGGCCUCGAGGCGCUAAGUUAUUCUGGUCUCUCGGCGCCUCCGCAGCUGGCGAGCUUUUUAUAAACAGGACGAGUCACCCCCCGCCACACACACACGCUCCAGCCCCGCCUACUGGGAGGGGUGGGGGGAGAAUCUAGGGGAUCAGGACUCUCCUGGGGGCCACACACCCCUGGAGGGUUUGAAAGCUGGAGUAGGGGGAGCAGGAGACCCAAAGUGGGGGCUGGGGUUUCGGGCUCCUCCUCCCUCCCCAAAUUCUGACUUCCUUCCCUAAAGAUUUGGAGGAAUAAAAGAUGGACCAUCUUAGCUCCCAAAAGGCUCCAUCCUCUGAGUUUUGCUUUCCCAGGAUGGAGGGAGGGGGUCUCCCAGCCCCCGGGUCUUUGAAUCCGAGCUUUGAAGAGCUGGAGGCUUCGGCUCGUGCCCUCCCUGUUUCCCGGGGCAUUUACCGCAGGCUUUAAGGGGUUUCCGGGACAGGUCGCUUCUCUGUCCCUGCUAAACCUUUUCUUCGAAUUUUCUUCUUGAUGACGGGGCGCAGGGAGGGGAGGGGGUUCCCAGAGAGUCCAUCAGCCCCUUCCUCCUUUUCUGGGAAUGGUGGGGAGGGGAGGCUCUCUUGACCUCUACUUCUUUCUUU